AUGGUUAACUCAGUUGUUUUGCUCGUCGGUUUAAUUUCAGUCCAGUAAUGCUUAAGAAGUUUGAAAGUGGUGUUAUGGUCAUACAAAACAAGUCUCAUAGUGAUGAAGAGGUGUUUUCUAGGAUCAAAUUAUUAGUACAAAAGCCUGAUGCGCUAAAAACGGGGGUUAGUGCCACUGAUGCUGCAAGAACACUUGGAAUUGCUCCAGCUAUGGCGAAAGAGCAUCUGCUUGCCGCUAAGAGCAAAGAAAUGGAGUCCUUUACAUCUGGUGUAGGAAGCAAAUCAAAGCCUAGCAACCGGUAACUUCCCAAAUCAAAGAAAAUCAAAUCGAUGAUGAAGUACUGGAUAUUAACCAUUUGAAUAUUUGAUGCUUGCUUUACCUUUCAGUAGUGGCUGAGGUGUAGCACUAGCAACUGAAAUGAGAAGAAAACUCAGCAGUUGGUACCUAUCGAGGAUCAUAUCUAUGAAUUAAUGGAGUCGGCGGCGGAGAACGGAGGUGAAUCGGAGAAGAAAACCCAGCAGUUGGUACCUACCGAAGAAAACCCAGCAGUUGGUCGAUUUUGUGUACAGGUAUCAUGGUAUCUGUACUUGCGGUGAGUAUAUUACGUUUCUGUUUCAAUUCUUAUGUGAGGAAUCUGAAAUAGAAACCACUCGAGCAUGUGUUGAAUCCUUCAAAAACGACACUAAAAACUAAGGGCUCGAUGCGAAAGUGCACUUUCCUCUCCAAUUUAAAGGUUGGAGGAGCGUGAACGAAGGCACUUUUCAUCUAAAGACAAGGGCUAUAGCGUGUCCGAAGUUGUUCCGACGCUGGAGAAUAAUAUUCCCGAGCAAGCUGCUGUAUUGACAGAGGAAUCUGAAGCGGAACAGGCUGUUCUUGUGGAGAAUGGAGAAGUUCCCGCUGUUAAGGAAGACCCGGUUCCUGAGGUUGUUGAUGAAGUGCAGGAUUCUUCAUAGCUGGCAGUUGAA